UACGUAGGGUGCAAGCGUUGUCCGGAAUUAUUGGGCGUAAAGAGCUCGUAGGCGGUCUGUUGCGUCGGCUGUGAAAACCCGGGGCUCAACCCCGGGCCUGCAGCCGAUACGGGCAGACUAGAGUUCGGCAGGGGGAGACUGGAAUUCCUGGUGUAGCGGUGGAAUGCGCAGAUAUCAGGAGGAACACCGGUGGCGAAGGCGGGUCUCUGGGCCGAUACUGACGCUGAGGAGCGAAAGCGUGGGGAGCGAACAGG
rnacentral:rRNA from 1 species